rnacentral:rRNA from 1 species
AUGAAGGAGAGGAGCUCUUUAUGUGAUAGUGCAGCAGAUGGAAAUUGGGUUUCAAAAUUCAAAAGAAAGCGAAGCAAGUUAACAGCUAGCUCGUCAAAUGAGCAUGAGGCUACAUCACCAACAUCGGACUCUAUAAUGAACAAUGGUUCCAUAAAAAAGAGGUCCAAGCAUGACACUAGCAUUUCUACAUCAGCCAAGAAGAUAAGAGGACACGAUGGGUAUUUCUAUGAGUGUGUAGAAUGUGACCUUGGUGGCAAUUUGUUGUGUUGCGAUAGCUGUCCACGGACAUACCACUUGGAAUGUCUUAACCCCCCCCUUAAGCGUGCACCGCCUGGGAACUGGCAAUGCCCAAGAUGUCGUACGAAACAAGUUAGCUUGAAGUUGUUAGGAAAUGCGGAUGCUGACACUUCCAAACGUGAAAGAACAAGGAGAAUGCGUACAAGCACCAUAGCAGAUAGCCCAUCUCCCCAUAACAAAGUCUCUCUGAAUACCCGGAGUCCCAUACAAGAGAAAAGUGAAUCAAACGAACAAGUAAAACUAUCAUGCCCUGGUGCAUUGAAGGAAGGUGAUCUCAGUGUGAAGGACAAUGAAGUUCAGAAAAAGAAGCCAUUGAUAGUACAUUUGAAGAGGCGCUCGACCAAAGAAUUAUCUGCAAUUACGAAGCCCUUGAAGUCAGGAUUCAUUGGCCAGUCUUCAGAAGAGAAACGGGAGAAACAUGGAGGUGCUUUGAAAAUGAAGAAACAUCUGCGCUCCAUGGACUUGUCUCCAAAGAAAUAUAAAACCAAGAGGCAGCAUAGUCACAAAGACUCUAAGCGAUCUGAAACAAAAAGGCUCAGAUAUUUGGCAACUGAUGUUGGCAGUGAUUCGUCAAUGGGGGCAUCUACAUCUCCUGAGCACUGCGAAUCACCACCAAAAAGGAGAUCUCUGGAUGGCAGAACACCUACAUCUAGUGCCAAGAAAGGGAAAAAGAAAGUGAAAUUUGUUGAUAAACAACAUUCAGAGGUGCUACCUGUGGCGGGGGAUAUGAUAAUAACUCCUCAGGAGGAUCUGCAGGUUGACCGCAUCCUAGGCUGUCGGCUUCAGACAAGCCAAAUCAUUUCGCAGCCCCAUGCUUUAUCAGAGCAGAUUGAAUUAACUAAUUUGCAGCUGGAAGGUGGGGUUCCUUCUAGUUCUUCCAGUGUGCCAACACAGCCGUUAAGAAAUGAUACUGACACCACUCCAGAGGAUGUAUGCGCUGAUGAAUCAGCACAUGAUCCCUGUGAAGAUCAUUUGGAUGGUGGUGAAAUGCAAAAGGAGAAUAAUGGAAAAUACCAUGAAAAGGAGUCAGUGAACCCAGAGGAAGCCACAAAGACACUGUCAGAUUGUUGCACCGACCAAAUCAUCACAGUAAAGGAUGCUGGAGUAGUAGGAGAGAACAUACCUUCAGUAAAUGGUGACUUUGAGGCAGUAUCUGAUGUUCCAGUUGAAGGAACAUCGGAAAAGGGUGAUAUCAAACUUUCAGUUUCCGAAGUUGAUGCAACUGUGCAGACCAAACAAGAGUUGACACCUGAAAGUAAAGUCCAUGGAAACAUAAACGAAAUUGCAGGAAAUGGCCAUGAUGAUACUGCAUAUGAAUUUUUGGUCAAAUGGGCUGGAAAAUCAAACAUCCAUAAUAGCUGGAUUUCUGAAUCUGAACUAAGAACAUUAGCAAAACGGAAACUAGAAAAUUACAAAGCAAAGUAUGGAAUGGGUUUGAUAAACAUUUGCAAGGACCAAUGGUGCCAACCACAACGCGUUAUUUCUCUGCGUGUUUCCUUAGAUGAAGUAGAAGAGGCUUUAAUCAAAUGGUGUGGCCUUCCUUAUGAUGAAUGCACCUGGGAAAGAUUAGAUGAACCUAUCAUGCUGAAGUAUGUCCAUUUGGUUACUCAGUUCAAAAACUUUGAAUGCCAAGCUUUGGACAGGGAUGUGAGAGGUAACCGUGCAAAUGCAAGAAACCGCCAAGAGCUGACUGUGUUGAUUGAGCAGCCAAAAGAACUUAAGGGGGGCAUGCUCUUCCCACAUCAACUGGAAGCAUUGAACUGGCUGCGUAAAUGUUGGUGCAAGUCAAAAAAUGUUAUCCUUGCUGAUGAGAUGGGUCUUGGGAAGACGGUGUCAGCUUGUGCUUUUCUGUCGUCCUUGUGCUGUGAAUUCAAGAUUAACUUGCCUUGUCUUGUCUUGGUUCCUCUUUCUACUAUGCCUAACUGGAUGGCUGAAUUUGCAUCUUGGGCGCCUCAUUUAAAUGUUGUGGAGUAUCAUGGUUCUGCACGGGCAAGAUCUACAAUUCGUCAAUAUGAGUGGCAUGAAGGCGAUGCAACCCAGAUAGGUAAAAGCAAAAAGUCUCACAAGUUCAAUGUCUUGCUUACCACUUAUGAGAUGGUGCUUGUUGAUGCUACAUAUCUUCGUUCUGUGCCAUGGGAAGUUCUUAUAGUUGAUGAAGGGCAUCGUCUAAAGAACUCUAGCAGUAAACUCUUCAAUUUGCUCAAUACAUUUUCAUUUCAGCACAGGGUUUUGUUGACUGGAACCCCAUUACAGAACAACAUUGGUGAAAUGUAUAAUUUGUUGAACUUCCUACAGCCUGCUUCUUUCCCUUCUCUAGCAUCAUUUGAGGAGAAGUUUAAUGAACUUGCAACAGCAGAGAAAGUGGAGGAGCUGAAGAAACUGGUAGCACCACAUAUGCUUCGAAGGCUGAAAAAAGAUGCAAUGAAAAAUAUCCCCCCGAAGACAGAGCGAAUGGUGCCUGUCGAACUGACAUCAAUCCAGGCUGAAUACUACCGUGCUAUGCUUACAAAGAACUACCAAGUACUGCGUAAUACCGGAAAAGGUGGUGCUCAUCAGUCAUUGCUCAAUAUAGUAAUGCAGCUUCGGAAAGUUUGCAACCAUCCAUAUCUUAUUCCUGGAACUGAACCCGAAUCAGGUUCACCAGAGUUUUUGCAUGAAAUGAGAAUAAAGGCCUCAGCAAAGUUAGCUUUGUUGCAUUCUAUGCUCAAAGUGUUACACAGUGAUGGGCAUCGUGUUCUUAUUUUUUCUCAGAUGACUAAACUUCUUGACAUCCUCGAAGAUUAUCUGACUCUGGAAUUUGGUCAUAAAGCAUUUGAAAGAGUAGAUGGUUCGGUGUCUGUGGCUGAGCGCCAGGCAGCUAUUACUCGUUUCAAUCAGGACAAGACCCGUUUUGUAUUUUUGUUAUCUACACGGUCAUGUGGUCUUGGGAUCAAUUUGGCAACUGCAGACACUGUUAUCAUAUAUGAUUCUGAUUUCAAUCCGCAUGCUGAUAUACAGGCGAUGAAUAGGGCACACAGGAUUGGGCAGUCAAACAGACUUUUAGUGUACAGGCUUGUAGUGCGUGCUAGUGUUGAGGAGCGUAUCUUGCAACUUGCCAAGAAGAAAUUGAUGCUUGAUCAACUUUUUGUUAACAAAUCAGAAUCACAGAAGGAAGUGGAAGAUAUCAUUCGCUGGGGAACUGAGGAGCUCUUCAGGAAUAACGAUGAGGUGAAUGGUAAAGAUAAUGAUGAAGCUUCUGGUGCUAAACAUGAUGUAUCUGAUAUUGAGGUUAAGCAUAGGAGGAAAACUGGUGGCCUAGGUGAUGUUUAUGAGGAUAAAUGUAUUGGCAGUUCUACCAAGCUUAUUUGGGAUGAAAAUGCUAUUAUGAGGCUUCUUGAUAGAUCUAGCCUUCCAACAACUGUAGCUGAAAGCACCGAUGGGGAUUUGGACAAUGAUGAUAUGCUUGGCACUGUAAAGUCAAUCGAUUGGAAUGAUGAUAUAAAUGAUGAUCCCGGUGCUGCUGAGGACAUUCCAAAUAUUGACAACGAUGGUUGUGAACAGGCAUCCGAAACAAAACAUGAUGCAGCUAAUCCUGUGGAAGAAAAUGAAUGGGAUAAACUUUUACGUCUCAGAUGGGAGCAAUAUCAAAUCGAAGAGGCAUCCCUUGGUCGAGGCAAGCGCUUAAGGAAAGCUGUUUCUUACAGGGAAACCUUUGCAGCAAUUGCCAAUGAAGCAUUAAGUGAGGAUUCUGACGAUGGGGAUGAACCCAAGCGAGAAUACACUGCAGCUGGACUGGCUUUGAAGGAAAAAUAUGGAAAGCUCCGAGCUAGACAGAAGGAAAGGAUUGCUCAGCGGCACACAAUCAAGAGCUAUGCUGAUGAUAAACUUGAAGAUUUCAUAAAACUAUAUGACUCUAGUGUUAAUGAAUAUGGUGUAAACCCUUUGAGAGUUGUAGAAGAUCCUGACUCUGUGCAGCCAUCUGGGGCUAAACGUUUCAGUGAUUCAACUGCAGAAAUGAGGCAUUCCUCGAAGAAAGCAAAGAGAUAUCCUGAAAUCUCUCGAGAGCUUCAUGCCAAACUUGCUGCGAGUGCUACUUCGUCGAAGCACCACUCAAAGGCAACUGAUGUCUUAAAUCAAGGGACUCCACAUCACCUCUUACCUGUCCUUGGCCUUUGUGCUCCGAAUGCUGAUCAGGUAAACUCGUACAAGAAUUCAAAUUGUGGGCCAAACAUGAAAGAGCAAAAACCAGCUAGUGGUGAAGUAUUCAACAAGCCACUGUCACCUUCUGCUGCCGAGUAUUCUAGUGAAUUCAAAAAUCAGGGCCAAUUGGAUCCCAGCAAGACUAUGUUUCCUGGUUCAUCCGAAGCUUUGCGAAGGCUGAGUAACAUCAUUCCAGAUAGCUAUUUCCCCUUCAAUCCUAUUCCUCCUAUAUCUGGGAAGGGGCUUUGUGACCCUGUUGAAAAUCCUUUACCUUCUAUUGCUUCAUUUCAAGGGAAGAUGGGUCUUCCGAACUUUGGUCUGGAAGACAAUAUUCCACUCAGUCAUAUGAAGUCAGUACCAGAUCUAUUUCCCAACUUCCCACUGGGCACUAAUAAGGAGUAUGCUCGUAAUUCUAUCCCAGAAUUGCCAAACAGUUCAUUUUUACCGAACUUCAUGGCAGAUAUUGCUGGAAGUUCAAAAAAGGCGAGGUCAAAAUUCAUGGCAGAUAUGUCUGCCCUUCUUCCUGGGCUAGGUAUUAGCCCAGUUCAACCAAUCCAUUCAGCCAUGCCUGAAAAUCACAAGAAGGUAUUGGACAAUAUAAUGAUGCGUGCUCAGUAUGCCACAAAUAAAUUCAUGAAAAAGAGGUCAAAACCUGAUUAUUGGUCGGAAGAUGAACUUGAUGCUUUGUGGAUUGGAGUUCGUAGGCAUGGAAGGGGUAACUGGGAUGCCAUGCUUAGAGAUCCAAAGUUGAAAUUUUUGAACCACCGCACUAGUGAACAGCUAGCAUUGAGAUGGAUUUUGGAGGAGCAGAAAAUUAUGGAGGAACCAAUGCCUACAGCCACCAGAAGUUCCAACUCCACAUUUCCUGGUUUAUCUGAUGCCAUGAUGUCUCGGGCACUAAGUGGAAGCAACUUCUCUAAACUUAAGAUGGAGCCUCCUAAGUUGCAGUCCCACCUAACUGAUAUUCAAUUAGGUUGCAGUGAUAUACCAUCUAGAUUUCCUCAUAUUGAGCCUUCGAGUUACAUGAGUGAGGGUGGCCCAUCACUGGCACCAUGGAAGGAUUUCAAGAAUAAAACAGGUUAUGGUGGGGAUUUUCCUGGAAGCACAUCUGACAAGUGGGAGAAAGCUGAUGUUGGACUGGUCCCACCAUAUAUGCCAAAUCCUUUUAUGAUGGAAAGUAUUGGUUCACUACCCAUAAACAUACCAAACAGUAGUUCGAUCCAGCAGAAUGAAUUUGCAUCAAGUUCUCAUGAGAACAUUCUUCUUCAUAGUGUCACAGAUGGGCAGGCCGACUUGUUUCACGAGAUGCAGCGGCGUGUGAGGUUAGGUAAACAGCCCAUUGAAAUGAAUCUGUAUCACACAAAGCACUCAAGUCCUCUACUUGAAAACGCUGGCAUAUUUGGAAGUUCCAGAUCAAACAAGCUACCGCAUUGGCUGCAGGAGGCCGUGCGCGCUCCAUCUAAGCCAAUUGAAUGUGAACUACCAGCAACUGUUUUAGCAAUUGCAGAGUCUGUGUGCCUACUUCUUGGAGAACAAAAACCAGCAAUACCUCCAUUCCCAUUCCAAGGACCUCGCCUUUCUCGCCCAAAGGACCCGAGAAAUACUCCAAAGAAGAGAAGAGUACAUAAGGUUCAGCAAGCAGAGCAUCCCAAAAUUGGAUCUGGGCAAGGUGAUCAAAUAUCUGCUCCAGCACCAAAAUUAAUGGAAGCUCCACCUACUUCUGCAAUUGAUCAGACUAAUGAUGCCCCUUCACUAAACUUGAACUCUCCAUCAUCUUCUUCCGCUGGCAGUCAGAGGCAAGACGUGAUACCUCCUGCUUUUGAAGAAACACGCAAUACAAUGGAAGUUUCAGAAGCUGUUGCUGCUGCUUGCACGGCCAGGUCAGAGGCUCCUGAAACUGGUUGUCAGAGAGAUGAAUUCUUUGGGUUAGAUGGCAUUACCAGUGGGUCUUGUAGAUCACCAACGGGGAAUGCUCCUGACGCUGGUGCUCCAAGGAGGGGAUUGUCGGGACCUGCAGAGUUCUCUUUGCUGACAGUAGUUGAUGCAACUGGAUUAAGUACCACACGGGCAGUAGGACCUGUAUCAAGUGAUGAUCAGGAGCCAGAACAAGAAAAUCUAUUAGACAGUGACAAGCACAUUGGCGACACGGAGAAGCUGUUGGAGAAACCUACACCACCUGACGAGAGUAGGGAUUCAGGUGCAUCACAGUCAGUUUCAGCUCAGAUAGUUGAUGAAUAUAAAGUCGACAUGGUCGCAGAUGAGCGUUAG